GACCGAUUUUCUUCUUCUUCUUCUACUUCUUUUGUUUUAUGGCUGUUGGCAAACAACGCAAUGGCGCAUUACCGCCACCAACUGGUGAGGAGUGUGGAUCACAAUCGCAACAAAACAAAACAAACCUAAACUAAACAAACAAACAAACAAAAAAUGACAUACAAUAUGAUGAGAUUCUCCUUCACACCUCUAUUUCCCUGAGGUUCUGUAUUAAAUGACUAAAACCUUCCUUCUGUGAAUCUUUCUGUAAAUAACCACAAUAUUCAGUUUCAUCUUGAUCCUUCUGAGGUUCUGACUGAGUCGUGUUCUGUACUAUGAUGUGUUCUAUUGUUUCCUCUUGUCCACAAUCGUCACAGUUUCCUGAGUUAUGUUUCCCUAUUUGUGUGAAUACUAUGAUGUCCGGUAUGUCCAAAUCUGAGUCUUGCUAUGAUUGUCUCCUCUUUUCUACUUCCUCUUGUACUUCUCAUCUCCCUUUCCUUUCCUUCUCCCACUGUUUUUGCCAAAGAAUUCUCAAUUGUCUGUUUUAUCAUUCCCCUGAUUUUUGUUGUGCUAAUGUUCACUGUGAUGUCAAUUGGUCUUUUCUUGUUCGCCUGCUUUGGAAUUUUGUCUGCAAUUUAAUUUCCUAUUACACCCAAAUGUGCUGGAACCCAAAGAAAUGUACUGGGACCCAUCAUAUGGAUGUUGCAGUGUUUGUUGUCUUCUGCUUCUUCUUCUGCUGCUUUAUGGCGGAUUGAAAUCCAACAUCUUUAAGGUCCAUGCCGCCACCUACUGUCACCGGAGUCGUGUGUCACCCCAAGCUUCAGAUACUUAAUAAUAAUAAUAAUACAUUUAAUUUAUAGAGCAUAAUAAAAUAAUAAAAUACAUUGAAUAUUCCUGCAGCUUCUUUGAGCUGGCAGCAGAAACAUGAGGUUGUUUAUUUUAUCACCGUCUGUGUAAUAAUGAUGCUCAGCUUCAUAUGAGGAGGAAAACUGGACGAACAAAGAAUUAUAUUUUUUUCAUACAAAUAAACAGAAUGUAAGAGUAUGAAUGAUGAUCACUGCCACCACUAGUAAGUGGUUUCAGCUCACGUCACGUCUCCAAAUAUACAAGAAGCUAAAACACAAAACCAAUAGACAAAAAAUGUUGUGGUUCAGACUUUUAUUCUUUUAUCAUAGGCCGGGCGUCGCAUCGCCACGUCGAAUGUUUCCAGAAGCCUUUGGAUGCAAAAGUCAAAAUCAGAUCCAGUUCAUUGUUUUUCCUUCAGAGGCGGAUCCCCGAGGAUCUUUAUAAGUCUCUGAGGAUCUCCGAGGGUCAUUGAGGAUCUCUGAGGGUCAUUGAGGAUCUCUGAGGGUCAUUAUAGGUCUCUGAGGAUCCCCGAGGGUCAUUGAGGAUCUCUGAGGGUCAUUGAGGAUCUCUGAGGGUCAUUAUAGGUCUCUGAGGAUCCCCGAGGGUCAUUGAGAAUCUUGAGGGUCAUUAUAGGUCUCUAAGGAUCCCCGAGGGUCAUUGAGGAUCCCCGAGGAUCUUUAUAGGUCUCUAAGGAUCCCCGAGGGUCAUUGAGGAUCCCCGAGGAUCUUUAUAGGUCUCUAAGGAUCCCAGAGGGUCAUUGAGGAUCUCUGAGGGUCAUUGAGGAUCCCCGAGGAUCUUUAUAAGUCUCUGAGGAUCUCUGAGGGUCAUUGAGGAUCCCCGAGGAUCUUUAUAGGUCUCUAAGGAUCCCCGAGGGUCAUUGAGGAUCCCCGAGGAUCUUUAUAGGUCUCUAAGGAUCCCCGAGGGUCAUUGAGGAUCUCUGAGGGUCAUUAUAGGUCUCUGAGGAUCCCCGAGGGUCAUUGAGGAUCUCCGAGGGUCAUUGAGGAUCUUCGAGGGUCUCUGAGGAUCCAGGACAAAAGACGUUUGUUGAAAUGAAAGAAUAAAAAGCAAUCGUUCACUCUGAAAAGAGAAUUAAAAACUACUGUCUCAAGCGGUGUGAAAACUGCGACUUCAACGUCCGAACGGAUCCUGAAGAAAGAGGAAGUUGGAAAAUACUGCUGCUGGGGGGGCGGGGGGCUCAUUUUAAACCUCGUUCUGAGUCACAGUGUUUCAUAAAAAGUCUUUAAUCGGACAUCAUCAUCCUCACGAUCUGCAGCAGCAGCUCGGUCGGCCAUUUU